ACAAGGGGCAAGGGACUGGAGGACUCGCGAGGAGAUAGGGCUACUAAAACGACGUCGUUGGUGUUUUUCUUUUAAAACGACGCCGUCUGAGAUGCUGAUUCUCGACCCCAUCCUCUUCAAGCUGGCUCUGCAACGCCUAGGGUUUGGUCUCUGCACCCACGCUCGUCCUCCAUGAAGCCAAGGAAUGAUGAAACCUACACGAAGAUAGCACUAACCUCGCUCUCGGCCAUGGUCGCCGAGACCUCCACCUUUCCUAUAGACCUCACCAAGACUAGACUCCAGCUCCACGGCGAGUCACUCUCUUCCGCUCGCUCCACCACCGCGUUUAGGGUUGCUGCCGAAAUCGUUCGGAGAGAUGGCCCACUCGGCCUCUACAAAGGCCUGUCUCCCGCAAUUCUUCGGCACCUAUUCUACACGCCGAUCCGAAUCGUCGGGUACGAACACCUGAGAAAUGCUGUGGAUGGCCAUGAUUCGGUAUCUCUGUCGGGAAAGGCCCUAGUCGGAGGAAUCUCCGGCGUCAUUGCUCAGGUAGUGGCAAGCCCUGCUGAUCUUGUCAAGGUGAGGAUGCAAGCAGAUGGUCGAAUGGUGAGCCAAGGCCUCCAAUCCAGGUACUCAGGAACUUUUGAUGCAUUAAACAAGAUUAUCCGUACAGAAGGCUUUCGAGGCCUAUGGAAGGGGGUUUUCCCAAAUGUCCAGAGGGCAUUUUUAGUGAACAUGGGAGAAUUAGCCUGCUAUGAUCAUGCAAAACAUUUUGUUAUACAAAACCAGAUAUGUGGUGACAACAUAUAUUCCCACACCCUAGCCUCUAUCAUGUCAGGCCUUUCAGCAACUGCUUUAAGUUGUCCAGCGGAUGUGGUUAAGACACGAAUGAUGAAUCAGGCUGUGAGCCAGGAGGGCAAGAGUAUGUAUAAUAACUCUUAUGAUUGUCUCGUGAAAACUGUCAGAGUUGAAGGAUUAAGGGCUCUUUGGAAGGGAUUCUUUCCUACAUGGGCAAGGCUUGGUCCAUGGCAGUUUGUGUUCUGGGUUUCUUAUGAAAAGUUUCGGGAGCUUGCGGGGCUCUCAUCCUUCUGAUGAAUUCUAGCGACUACUUUAUUUCAUGCUCAAGUUGCUUAUUCCUGAAGUAAACAAUUGAUCAAAUGCCAUUUAUUAUUCCUCACUCAAUCUUCAAAACAUGGCUGCAAUGGCUUCCUCGGUUUGGGAUUGGGCUUUUCUCUCUCGUCAAAUCUGAAGGAUAGAAUAUGAUGAGAGCCACCGGGCAAAGAGAAUUGCAAAGAAGAGCUCAUGAUUAUCUGAGAAACAAUUAAGGUACUCUCAAUUCGGGCGAGGAGCGAUGGUAAGGCUGGGGAAUUUUUCUUUUUUUAGGAUUUUGGUUCAAACUUUAUUUUGGACAUUAUUUAGAUGUUAAAAUUUAAUUCCCGUUUAAAUUAUUUAAAUUUGGAGUUAUUUGAACAAUAACACUCUGGUUGAUGUGUUAGUUUUUUUUAAAGUUGAUACUUGAAGAUUUUAGAAUUUUGUCCUACUACUCUGAAUAAAAAUUAGGUAGUUGGUAAA